GGGGCUGACCGGAAUCGACAGGAAAGAAGUUCAUUGAGUUAGCAUGCCGGAGCAUGAUCGCUCACUCCGCUCCUUCGGGAGAAAAUGGCGAUUGACCAUUUUAUUUGGCGAAUCUAACUACGCCAUGGCCGCCUAAUUCUAGGAAUUAGAACGCCAUUAUGCAGCACGCCUGACGCCUGAUAUAUAGCGUUGCAGCAUAUCAACAACCCCGCAGGCUGGUCGGCAGGAAGUACUUCACCCUGUCGGUAAGAAACUCGAAGCUAAGGUCCUGGUAGAUUUGCCUGAAUAUCAGCCGUGGACUCGAAAACCAAGAUUCAGGAUAAGCAUGUAGAAAACUCCUUGAUGCUUUGUCUGGACGAGGGUUCGAAUCCCUCCAGCUCCACUA
rnacentral:tmRNA from 1 species